ACAUUAAUAAUAAUCUCGUCAUUGUUGAUCACAGAAAUAUUCAAUGAGGAUUUAAAAAGAGGCAGUCGGUAGCUAAACUAUUGUCACUAGAGUUUCUGCCAACAAGCAGUGCCACCCACUUGAAACAUUGCGUGUGGCCUGCAUAAUCAAUGAUUCAGCUUGAAUGUUGGUGCUAAUCAUCGUGGUGAAAAGACUCUUCGAAAAAUCUGCGAUUCCGCAUCGUUACAUGUUAUCAUAUAUUAACAUUUAAAAUAAACCGACACCGUCGCAAGACUAUAUGCUGAUAUUGAAUCGGAAACCAUCAAUCGUACGAAAUGUCGACAUCAUGGACAAUAGUAGUCAAGGGACUGACUCGCUCGCUGAUAAUGUGAGGCACGAAAGACCACGAACGGAUCUUGCUUCUGCAGAGACAGUUGAGUCAGGAAUUAGAGAUUCGAGGCCAUCAUAAGCGUCGUUUUCUCACUGAUCAAAUUUUGGAGCCCAAGGCACGUGCCAGCGACUUUGGAUCAUUCUUCUUUUUCAAGGAGCCUUCGUAUUGAUGGGGAAAGGAUACCCGACGGAAAGGAGGACGCUUCAUUUAAGAACUCCGGUCGGAUGCCGUCAUCCGCUGUUGCUCGCAGCCGUCGUGGUAACUGGCAGCAGUCUUCCUAAUCGUAGGAAAUCUAUAGACAAUAUAUAAAAUAUAGGUAUCUGGCUGCAAUUUUAUUACUAUGUAAACCUCACAGAAUUCAGCUCACUGACUUGAUCAAGAAUUUACGUGUUAAUGACGUCCUUUUCAUGGGAUAACAAUAUUUUAUGUAACAAUUUUAUUUAAAACUUGCAAUUUUCAAUUUAAUUUAAACGCUCAUUCUUAUUGCUUAACGAUAGGUGUAACCAGUAAGUGUAACCAAUUCGAACUCUUCGUUUAAAUAAUAACAAUAACAGUUUGUUGGUUAGGCACAUAUUUAUACUUGAACGUAUUGGAUGGACAUACUACAAUAGCAUACUAUUACAAUGUAUGAAACGAUUUUUCAAUUUAAUAUAAUUCAACACUUUAAUGUAGAUAUUGUAAAAAAUAUAAAAGUUUCCUAUUCAUAUGAAGGGUCUUGCUAUGUGAGAAAAUAGGAAAAAUUCGUAUUAAGGCACAUCAUGGUGCCAGCUUAUUUUGUUGUUGUUGCAGAAAAUUUAGCAACCGUAUACAACCGCAACCUAUAUCAAGCGAAAUCCGACUAAAAAACUGUCAAUAAUGUAAACAUCCAGUUUUGGUCACUAGUUUAAUAUAGCUUGGUACAAUUCCAUCUGAAAUACCUUGUAGUAAUCCUAUAUGCCAUUCCACCAAUGUUAUAUAAUAUGUUAUAUAAUAAUACUAAUGAUAUAAGCAAUGGUCGCUCGCAGGUAUUCUUCCAAUUUCGAACCACUUCUUUUUGGCAGGCAUACGAUAAGUAAGUGGUAACUGAAGGAUCAAUCGAAUUAUUUUUUUUGCACAUACAAAGUUUGUCUCGCCUAGCGUUCACGAUACUGAACAAGCGGGACGGCUAAACUACGCAAUAAAGAAUCGUCUGAGUAUAGAGCAUAUAGAGCUAUUCCGACCCUUGACGAGUGCCAUUCUUAUAGAAAUGGCCAUUGUUGAAACUACUGUGUAAUAUAUGCACAGUUCAUAUGAUUUUUUUUUCAAAUUUUCUAUCAAUUCACAAUGGAUUCGUAUAAUAAUCUGUCAUCAUUUUUUUCUAUUCUAUAUGAACCUUCAAAGAUAAAAUACAAGGACAUAUUUUACAUAUACAAAAUACUACGAUUGACCUACUGGAAGGCCAAGAUGCGCCUGAAAUGGUUUAGUGGAUGAGGAGAGCAAACGUGAAAUUCGUUCCGUUUGGUUUAUAUCGAUGUUUCUUUACCAAAAAAUCGUGUUCGCGUGGGGUGAUAACAGAACGUAGGACUUUGGUACGACUCAUUUGUCUGACAUAUAAACGUCGACCCUAUAGAUCGGGAGUUGCGAUGAAAAGAGAAAGCCAAGCUGUCGGGUAUUGCCAGCAGUUGCAGUUCCGUAAAGGGCUAUAGUUACCUAGAACUGGUGCGCAGGUCCAGACGGAUUUUUCUUACUAUAUAUAUGAUUAUUUGUUUCAGUAACGGACGUCAUUAUUACAUUUAUUUUGACAUAAACUUCUUUUAAAGACAAUGUCAGUAGGUCGGUAAAUAGUGACAAGUGAUGAAUAUUUAAGGGUAUUCACCCGCAUAGGUUGAGGUGUCAUAGACAACCUUCGAGAAUUAGUCUGUGGUGUUCCGUAUCCCAACAACAAGAUGUACAUUUUCUUGUUUAUGAUCAUUUUCUAGCUGUACCAUUUUGCAAUGUUGUUACGCUUUUCAUGUUUAUACUUUUCUAUAAGUGUGCUUUAAUCCAAAGAUCAAAAUAGAGGUAUUAGUUGGUGUAUAUUCGAUCGAAUUUGAUCGGUAUUCUUACGUAUCUACUAAACACCAACUGUCUUUAUAGCAUUUCGUCAAACAUAUUGCAAGCUUUUGCUUGAUCGCGUGAGACAGAUAGCUUAAUCGCUCUCGCAAUUUAUGCCUAUAUAAUGAGCUCAUCUGUCACAAUGUAAAUAAAGCAUAGCUUGUUGUUCCGGUGCUCGGAAUUUUCUUUUGCCAAAAUCCUGCUAUAGACAACAACUGUAAAAUAGGGUAAUAAAAGAUAUUUACGAUGAAGACUAUAUUACUAUUAUUAUCAUCAUUACAUCUCUAAGUUGAGCAAAAGGAACCGGUUGUCUAUUAAUAUAAAUGUUACAACACGAAAAAUCGAAUAUAUAUUUUUUAUAUAUAUUCGAUUUUAUAAUGGGAGUCUUCCUUAAUUGAUUACUUUCAUUCAUAUUUGCACCCAACCAACAACCCGUUUAAUUCAAAACAAUCAUUUUGUCGAUACAGUAAAGGGCCAUUAGUAUUUAUCGGCCCUAUACAACUUUAAAUGUAGAUGGUAAUUUUGUGUUAAGCUGGUAAUUCUUCUAUGCCAAUCAAUCAUCUUCAAAGACCUAACAUCUCAAUCUAAGCUGUGUGAUCUUUAAUUUUAUGAUACACUUGUGUCGUUUAGAGUUUUCAUUCUGUAAUGGAUCUUUGGAACCUAUUGUUUCCAGCUAUAAUAAUAAUAUCUAACUAUGUACAAGAACGUCACUAUAUAUUAUCUAAUAAAGUUUGAAAUUUUUAAAUUAACGUAGACUAUUAGCUACUGUGUGAAGCGGUAGGUCGAUCAUUUGGCGUAAGCUGAUACAGAACCAAGGGGCGCUAACGUUAAGUUACGUAAAGCUCCAUAAUCGUGAACAGCACAAUCGAACUUUUUACCCUGCAGAAAAUUUGAGUCUACUAAGCGGGUUUAAAAGGCAAACGGGCUUCUAAUAUUGGUAUUAGGUGUAAUAGUAUGCCUAUUAUAAUGUUCAGUGGAACGUAAACCUUCAAAAAUGCUUGUUCCGUUUUUCUACAUUCUACAUGCCGUUUUUACGGCGGAUUGAACUCUAUCGCGAUUAUGUAGGUUUUACAAAAUAUUUAUCACAUCUGCCAAGGUUCUGGUCUAGAUGGAGGGAAAUAAAAAUAAUCAAUUUUCCGUGCCGUAGUUAUUGUACUUUAAAAAUGCAUUCGUCAUGAACGCAGCCUAAAGGUGUCGCACAGCGUUAGUGCCUCUAGGAAUACAUCACGCGUGGAUAUUCGUCUGCUGCGUCUGAGACACACCCAGAAACCCUUAAUGUUAUUUUUUUUUGCACAAAACACGUAUCUCUUAGA
rnacentral:lncRNA from 11 species